UACAGAGGUCCCAAGCGUUGUUCGGAUUCACUGGGCGUAAAGGGUGCGUAGGUGGCUUGGUAAGUUCGAUGUGAAAUCUCCGGGCUUAACCCGGAAAUGGCAUUGAAUACUAUUGAGCUGGAGGUUUGGAGGGGGGACUGGAAUUCUCGGUGUAGCAGUGAAAUGCGUAGAUAUCGAGAGGAACACCAGUGGCGAAGGCGAGUCCCUGGACACUUCCUGACACUGAGGCACGAAAGCUAGGGGAGCAAACAGG
rnacentral:rRNA from 1 species